GUGGGGAAUAUUGGACAAUGGGCGAAAGCCUGAUCCAGCCAUGCCGCGUGUGUGAAGAAGGUCUUCGGAUUGUAAAGCACUUUAAGUUGGGAGGAAGGGCAGUAAGUUAAUACCUUGCUGUUUUGACGUUACCGACAGAAUAAGCACCGGCUAACUUCGUGCCAGCAGCCGCGGUAAUACGAAGGGUGCAAGCGUUAAUCGGAAUUACUGGGCGAAAAGCGCGCGUAGGUGGUUUUGUAAGUUGGAGGUGAAAUCCCCGGGCUCAACCUGGGAACUGCCUCCAAAACUGCAGGACUAGAGUACGGUAGAGGGUAGUGGAAUUUCCUGUGUAGCGGUGAAAUGCGUAGAUAUAGGAAGGAACACCAGUGGCGAAGGCGACUACCUGGACUGAUACUGACACUGAGGUGCGAAAGCGUGGGGAGCAAACAGGAUUAGAAACCCUGGUAGUCC
rnacentral:rRNA from 1 species